rnacentral:lncRNA from 1 species
GGGGUAUCCCGGUUCAAUGGACCGAGCUUACUCUUCAGUCUUUCAAUGUAAGCUAUAACCGACUUUGUGGACGAAUACCCCAGGGAGGGGACCUUCAGAUAUUUGAUGCUUAUGCAUAUUUACACAACAAGUGCUUGUGUGGUGCACCUCUUCAGAGUUGCAACGUGGAGAUUCAAGCAACCGAUCUUUAUCUAAAUUUACCAUCAGAAUAAAUCAUGUAUAAGGACAUCUGUAUGUUAUAUUCGGAAUGAUUAAUAAAAAUGAAUAAAUUUUAUUUGAUGAAUUUGCUGCACAGUUUCAAAAUCUAUUAGAUCCAUCGGCUAGCAACCACUAUGGUUGGCCAUUUGAUUGAAACAAUUACGGAUUUGAAACUCUGAUACCCAGCAUAGAGCCAUGAGAUAACAUAUGAUGUAACAAAUUGAUCAAUCUACCCCGACUCAAUAGCAAAUAGAUAUAUGACCAUAUCUUAUACACAAACCACAAGCUGAGGAAAUAUAAACCAAUAUGCAAACUAAUGAGGAUUAAGCAACCAACCAUUUCCACCAGUAAAACUUUACUGAUCCACUGAAAAUACAUUCGUUUCUGAAAGUAUAAGGCUAACUUAAGAAUGUAAUCUUGGAAAACAUAUAAUAUAUUAGUAUAAUUUUAUUAUUAUUUAGUAAAUUAUAUUAAGAAAAUCAGUUUCCUUUCCAACUAGAUUUAUAUUCAUUUAAGAGAUAUGUUUCUGAAAGUAUAAGGAUUAUUUAAGAACUAGAUAUGAGUAUGUGCAUUGCAACAGGUUUUCUUUUGAUGUUUUAAUUUAAUAAAAAAUAUAAAAUAAUAAAGUAUUUUAUUAUAGUUGUAGGAUUGAUUUUGAAUAUAAGCUUUUAAAAUUCUCUUUUGUCAGAAUUUUAAAAUAAAAAAAAAAUUGUUAGGACUAAAAAAAGAAAAAAAUAUUUUACAAACUCUUAUUAAGGGUUUUAGAAAACAUAUAAGUUAUUUUCACAUAAUGGCAUAUUUUUAUUUACACAUUUAAAAUAUUGGUUGUUUUGUGUGUGCGUUUGAGAUACGUUGAUCUUGUCCUCCUAUCAUAUCAUUUUAGUUACGUUGAUGUUGAUUGCUCUGUUUGAGAUUUGAUAGCUUUGUUUCUGUGUGUUUUAUAUUUGUGUAACUAAGAUGCUUUGUUGUUGUUCUUGUCCACACAGCACGGAGAAUUUAGUCCAUCACAUGAAGGCAUGGAUGGAUACCUGUGCGAGCAGGUAGAUUGAUUUCUGACUUUUGUUAUUUUUGUUUCGGACAAUUAUUUUUGUGCUAAUGGGGUUUGCAAUUGAUUCUCUUGCAGGACUAAGAUCAGGGUUGAGGGAUUCAACACUUCCUCUGAUCGCCUUGUGCUCUUAAGGGCCUUGAAAGAUCUCUUUGAAACGUGUGGAGAAGUGAAGAACAUUGAGAUCAGGGUAGAUCCGGUGUCAAAACUCAUCAGGUAGUUUUGUUUCUUUAUUUAUUUGUGUUUCUUUUGCAAUAACAUUUAACUGAUGAAUAAAUUGAUGAUAGUACUCCACUGCAGGUCUUGCCUUGUUAUCCUUCUAGGAGAAGGUGCCAAAGAGAAAGCUUUACUUCUCAACGGUAGCCAAGUUGGAGGAAGGAAGCUGACUCUCUCAGCAGUUGAGCUACAUCAGGUCGAGCUGCCAAGUUCGUGGCAGACUUCCAAAAGAACAGGUAAUUUCUAUUCUUGACUUCUAUUAAUUUGAUUCUUAGUGUUAAUCUCAUAAAUAUCUUUUUUUCUUGUAGGAGCGAAAUCAUAUCCGUAACUGGAUAUGACCCUUCUCUUCCUCAAGAAGAUCUCGAGAGUGUUUUGUGGAAGCACUUCGCUGCGUGUGGUGAAAUCACGGAAAUCACCUACCGAGUCAGGUUACAACCUUGUUCUGCAGAACAAGAAACUUCUCUCUAUUACUCUUUGUGUAAAACACCUUUUUAAUGCUCUCUUUGCUUGCUGUAUAUCUACAGCUCUGUCCUCGUCCACCUGUAUGGGCUAGGCUCCCUACAACGAGCUGUCCAACUGAAUGGAACCGACCUCGGAGGAGGUUUCACGCUGACCGUCGAAGCCAUGCCCUAUCCGAAGCGUGAAAAAGCCGAAGCCGAGUACGCAAUCCCAGAUGACAUAACUAAAACACUUUAUUAAUUAUGAAUUUUGGGAAGAAGUUAAUUAAUCGAGUUUUCCUUUGUGGUAUUAAUUAUGACAUUUCUUCAUGAUGACUGUAUUCACGAAAUUGUAUUCACCGCUAUUGCCGUGUUGGUUAUAAGUCUUUGUGAUUUUAACUAUUUUUUUGCUUUGGGACUAUGGAUGCUGGCAUGAUAAUUAUACAAUCAUCCUAAUGGGACUGUGGAUGCUGGCAUUUUAUUUGUUCUGUAUCGAUCAAAUACAACCUACAGUCCGAAGACGCUUGCUGACAUGAUAAUUACUUGAUACAAUCUUGCUUCUAUCUAUUACUCAAUGCCCAUUCAAAAUAAAUAUGUGUUUUUCAAAACUAAAGGUUGAUUGGGUUUGGGAUACAGAUAAGACUUAAAGACCAUUGAAUAUUUGAUCAAAAAAAAAAAAAGACCAUUGAAUAUAAAUUUUAUAGGUUGAUUAGAGUAUAAAUUUUAUUUUAUUUUCUACCCAAGAUAUGGGAGAAUAUAUCUACAUGGGAAUCUUUUCUUUAUAAUGUAAAACUAUAGCAACGAUUCUCGCAUACAUUUUUCCUUACGAGCAUGAAUUUGAUUGAUAGUCUAGAAAGACAUAAUCCAAGGAAGUAGUGAGUCGGCAAAGGAAGAGGUUAGUAAGUAGUGACCAGACUUUGUAUGUGUUAUUUACCAUCAAAAUAAAUCAUGUAUAAAUCUGCAUAUUCCAUUUGGAAUGAUAGAUAAAUAAAUGAAUCAUAUUUCAUUCGAUAAAACAUUUUCAAAAAUGUAUUUGAUCGAUACAGAACAAAUACAUUAACGGGAAAAUGUUUCUGUCGAGUUGAACAAAUUUGAUUUAUUAUAGGGAUGCAGAAAACAUGGUUCAUGGCAAAGAAAGUUUACUAUUGAAUACAAUUUCAGUGUACAAUUAUGUUUAAAAAGGACCACCGGAACUUGUUUAUCACGUGGUCUAACUAAAACCAUACCCUACCAUGUUUCCCACUCACUGCGUUACUCUCGUUAUAAUUACUAUACUACGUUAGCCUAUAUAUAUCAUCACAAUUUUCAAUUUAAACACAAACACAAACACAAACACAAACACAACAACACACUAUGGGUAAGACAACGACACUGCUCUUGCUCUUGUUCGCUCUCCUCUUCACCACAUCUUUAUCCAAAGACCUCUGUCACAAAGAUGACAAAAACACCCUCCUCAAGAUCAAGAAAGCCAUGAACAACCCUUACACCAUCAUCUCCUGGGACCCCAAGGACGACUGCUGCACCUGGGUCUCCGUUGAGUGCGGCAACGCAAACCGCGUCACCUCUCUAGACAUUUCAGACGACGACGUCUCCGCUCAGAUCCCUCCUGAAGUCGGUGACUUACCGUAUCUACAAUACCUCACACUCCGCAAACUCCCUAACCUCACCGGUGAAAUCCCACCCACCAUCGCCAAGCUCAAGUAUCUCAAAUCCCUCUGGCUCAGCUGGAACAGCCUGACCGGCCCGGUUCCUGAAUUUCUGAGCCAGCUCAAGAACCUAGAGUACAUAAACCUUUCUUUCAAUAAACUCUCUGGCUCCAUACCCGGUUCUCUCUCUUUGUUACCUAAACUAGAUUUUCUUGAACUAAGCAGGAACAAGCUUACAGGUAAUCACUCAUUCUCUUUGUCUCUAUUAGUCUUUUAUUAACAAGCUGUAAUUCUAAAAAUCUCAUAUAUCAAAAUAUACAAUUAGGUCCCAUACCAGAGUCAUUUGGAUCAUUUAAAAGAGCAGCAUAUGGGAUUUACCUAUCGCACAACCAGCUGUCCGGUUCUAUACCAAAAUCACUAGGCAACGUUGACUUUAACACCAUUGAUCUUUCCCGGAACAAGCUUGAAGGUGAUGCGUCGAUGUUGUUUGGAGCCAAAAAGACGACAUGGCACAUCGACUUAUCUAGAAACAUGUUCCAGUUCGAUAUCUCCAAGGUUAAGGUCGCUAAGACAGUUAAUUUCUUGGACUUGAAUCACAACAGCCUCACAGGGAGUAUCCCGGAUCAAUGGACCCAACUUGAUCUUCAGACUUUCAACGUUAGCUAUAACAGACUGUGUGGACGCAUCCCCCAGGGAGGUGACCUUCAGAGAUUUGAUGUUUAUGCAUAUUUACACAACAAGUGCCUAUGUGAUGCACCUCUUCCGAGUUGCAACGUGAAGAUUCAAGCAACCGAUCUUUAUCUAAACUUACCAUCAAAAUAAAUCAUGUAUAAGGACA